AUUGAACGCUGGCGGCAGGCCUAACACAUGCGAGUCGAACGGUAACAGGAAACAUCUUGCUGUUUCGCUGACGAGUGGCGGACGGGUGAGUAAUGUCUGGGAAACUGCCUGAUGGAGGGGGAUAACUACUGGAAACGGUAGCUAAUACCGCAUAACGUCGCAAGACCAAAGAGGGGGACCUUCGGGCCUCUUGCCAUCGGAUGUGCCCAGAUGGGAUUAGCUAGUAGGUGGGGUAACGGCUCACCUAGGCGACGAUCCCUAGCUGGUCUGAGAGGAUGACCAGCCACACUGGAACUGAGACACGGUCCAGACUCCUACGGGAGGCAGCAGUGGGGAAUAUUGCACAAUGGGCGCAAGCCUGAUGCAGCCAUGCCGCGUGUAUGAAGAAGGCCUUCGGGUUGUAAAGUACUUUCAGCGGGGAUGAAGGGAGUAAAGUUAAUACCUUUGCUCAUUGACGUUACCCGCAGAAGAAGCACCGGCUAACUCCGUG
rnacentral:rRNA from 1 species